GCCGAAAUAGCUCAGUUGGUAGAGCAACUGAUUUGUAAUCAGUAGGUCGCUGGUUCGACUCCAGUUUUCGGCU
rfam:Niastella sp. SCN 39-18 ABS68_C0020, whole genome shotgun sequence.